rnacentral:rRNA from 1 species
CGUAGGCGCAAGCGUUAUCCGGAAUUAUUGGGCGUAAGAGCUCGUAGGCGGUUGUCGCGUCUAUCGUGAAGUCCGAGGCUCAACCUCGGAUCUGCGGUGGUACGGCAGACUAGAGUGAUGUAGGGAGACUGGAAUUCCUGGUGUAGCGGUGAAAUGCGCAGAUAUCAGGAGGAACACCGAUGGCGAAGGCAGGUCUCUGGGCAUUAACUGACGCUGAGGAGCGAAAGCAUGGGAGCGAACAGGAUU